GCUUGCUGUAUUUUCGUCGCGGAAGAAUCUUCCUCCUUCGGAGAGUACACUUCGUUAGGGGACUACAGCAAGCUC
rnacentral:tRNA from 3 species